UGGGGGAUAUUGCGCAAUGGGGGCAACCCUGACGCAGCAACGCCGCGUGAAGGAUGAAGGUUUUCGGAUUGUAAACUUCUUUUAUUAAGGACGAAAAUUGACGGUACUUAAUGAAUAAGCUCCGGCUAACUACGUGCCAGCAGCCGCGGUAAUACGUAGGGAGCAAGCGUUGUCCGGAUUUACUGGGUGUAAAGGGUGCGUAGGCGGCUUUGCAAGUCAGAUGUGAAAUCUAUGGGCUCAACCCAUAAACUGCAUUUGAAACUGUAGAGCUUGAGUGAAGUAGAGGCAGGCGGAAUUCCCGGUGUAGCGGUGGAAUGCGUAGAUAUCGGGAGGAACACCAGUGGCGAAGGCGGCCUACUGGGCACCAACUGACGCUGAGGCUCGAAAGUGUGGGUAGCAAACAGGAUUAGAUACCCUGGUAGUCCACGCUGUAAACGAUGAUUACUAGGUGUGGGGGGUCUGACCCCUUCCGUGCCGGAGUUAACACAAUAAGUAAUCCACCUGGGGAGUACGACCGCAAGGUUGAAACUCAAAGGAAUUGACGGGGGCCCGCACAAGCAGUGGAGUAUGUGGUUUAAUUCGAAGCAACGCGAAGAACCUUACCAGGUCUUGACAUCGAGUGACGAAUCUAGAGAUAGAUUUUUCCUUCGGGACACAAAGACAGGUGGUGCAUGGUUGUCGUCAGCUCGUGUCGUGAGAUGUUGGGUUAAGUCCCGCAACGAGCGCAACCCUUGCUAUUAGUUGCUACGCAAGAGCACUCUAAUAGGACUGCCGUUGACAAAACGGAGGAAGGUGGGGACGACGUCAAAUCAUCAUGCCCCUUAUGACCUGGGCUACACACGUACUACAAUGGAUGUAAACAGAGGGAAGCAAAAUAGCGAUAUGGAGCAAACCCCAAAAAGCAUUCUCAGUUCAGAUUGCAGGCUGCAACUCGCCUGUAUGAAGUUGGAAUUGCUAGUAAUCGCGGAUCAGCAUGCCGCGGUGAAUACGUUCCC
rnacentral:rRNA from 1 species